CCUGACCCAGAGCUAGACCUGCAUCUCUUGCAUCUCCUGCAUUGCGUGAAGAUGGCAGACUGUGGGACUUCUCUGCUUCGACAAUCAUAGUGAAGUAGGCUAUCCUGAAACGAACUUCCUGAUUCAGCAUCUGCUUGGGUUCACAUGAACUAGUCAUCAGACCUGGGAAUCUGGGUCCCUUUUCUGGAGCACCGCCCAGCACGAUUCUGAGACAUAUCCUAGACCAACCUUCACACCGCCCUUUGCAGCCUCAGAAAAAUGAAGGAUGGAGGGAACCUAACAGGAUCUGGCUGACGAUGACGACAAAUCUGGGCAAAGUUGUAAAUCCAGAAGCUGCUGAAGUGAAACUGGAAGAAACACAGGGACUCGGUGUUUUCAUCCAUCUGCAAGAUCACCCAACGCCCCGUUCAAGUCUGGGCACGAGUCACCAGGUUUCCACAUACACCUACCCCCUGAAGUGCAGUGAGCACCUGGGUGUGUGGUGCCGAGGGAGACUUCUGUAGGAAACACCUCGGGAAAAUGGAGAGAGGGGAGGCCCGGAUCUCGGUCAUCCACGCAGGCGCUGUGCCUGAUGCACGCACGUGGGUGCGGGACAGCUGUGCUGACCAGCGCGUGGCUGUUACCAGCGUUCAG
ensembl:lncRNA